GACGAACGCUGGCGGCGUGCUUAACACAUGCAAGUCGAACGGAAAGGCCCUGCUUUUGUGGGGUGCUCGAGUGGCGAACGGGUGAGUAACACGUGAGUAACCUGCCCUUGACUUUGGGAUAACUUCAGGAAACUGGGGCUAAUACCGGAUAGGAGCUCCUGCUGCAUGGUGGGGGUUGGAAAGUUUCGGCGGUUGGGGAUGGACUCGCGGCUUAUCAGCUUGUUGGUGGGGUAGUGGCUUACCAAGGCUUUGACGGGUAGCCGGCAUGAGAGGGUGACCGGCGACAUUGGGACUGCGAUACGGCCCAGACGCCUACGGGAGGCAGCAGUGGGGAAUAUUGCACAGUGGGCGGGAGCCUGAUGCAGCAACGCCGCGUGCGGGAUGACGGCCUUCGGGUUGUAAACCGCUUUCGCCUGUGACGAAGCGUGAGUGACGGUAAUGGGUAAAGAAGCACCGGCUAACUACGUG
rnacentral:rRNA from 1 species